rnacentral:tRNA from 1 species
UGGUGUAGCUCAAUUGGCAGAGCAGCUGAUUUGUAAUCAGCAGGUUGAGGGUUCAAUUCCCCCCACC